rnacentral:lncRNA from 1 species
AAAGCUGCAUCCUUGACCAGGUUUAAAGGAGGGGCAUAUGAGGAAGUGGACUUUCAAGUCAUGUCCAACUGCAAAGAGUUAACCAAAACAACUUAGAAACUCCUAGACAGCACUUUCUCCCUCCACCCCGGCACCUUUCCUGAGUCUGUCUAUCCCACUGAGGUUCGGAUGUCAUGGAUGGCAACCUUUCUUCUCCCAAUCUCUCUGUUACUGUCCAUUAAGUGAGUAUCCAGCCUCAGGGUCUGGGGUAGGUUAGGAGCUGGGAAUGCACUUGUCACAUGCGGUCCUGGCUUCCCGGAAUUCACAGUCUAGGAGAGGAAGAGCAGCUAUACCGCCAAGUUCAAAAAGUGUUAUUAGCAGAGCAAUCAGGGCAAAAGGAUGCCUCCAAAGCAAGGCUCGAUUAAUCAAAGGGAUUCAGGGACCCAGGCAGGCUAAUCUCCAAGAAUCACUAAUAGGAUGCUUAAACGUUCUGAGCACCAGCAAGUAAAUAUCCUUUAUCACUUUAGGCAGCUUGGCUCUGGGAGGGGAGAAGGCGAGAUAAAUGAGUUCAGUAGACUGCCCACUCUAGCCCAGCUCUAAGUGCUCCUGUGUCCCCCUUGUAGCAGAAGUCCAGCAUUGCCACCGCAUCACCUCUUUUUCCAAGGUAAAGACAUGCCGGUGUCCCUGGGUAGUUUAAUGUUAACCUUAGGAUAGACGGCCAUUUAGUAUUAUUCCUACAACUGUCCAGAAAGGGGGGAAAGCAAGCCUCAGCCCAUACUAUCCGAAGCAAGGCAAACGUUCUGGAAAGCAGGGAAGAGUGGGAAUGAUCAUGGCCUUCCAAUUCCAGAUACCCAACCCGGGUCCACCUGGCCUCUCUGAGACAGGGACCACGCCGUACUCAUUGCCGUACCCGUGGCACUUGGUACUGAAAACUCUCCCUCUGGGUCUGUGGAAUGAGGGGGGAAGGCUGUCUUCAGAAGCCGUCUGGCCUGCUUGGUGCAGAGGGUAACACUUUGGUGAGGUCCGCAGGUGAAUCCCAGCACUAACAUCGUCAAAGCACCUGCCACGCUUUCUAAAG